CNAUGCNAGAUAGCCAGCAUGUCUAGUACAGGCUUUGUUAAGCGAAACCGCGAAUGGCUCAUUAAAUCAGUUUAUGGUUCCUUAGAUCGUGCCACGUUACUUGGAUAACUGUGGUAAUUCUAGAGCUAAUACAUGCAGCGGAGCUCCGAUCCCGCGAGGGUGACGAGCGCUUUUAUUAGACCAAGGCCAAUCCGUUUUCCUCCGGGGAAACGGUUUUCGGUGACGACUCUGGAUAACUUUGUGCGGAUCGCACGGGCACGUCCCGGCGACGAGUCUUUCAAGUGUCUGCCUUAUCAACUGUCGACGGUAGGUCACGUGCCUACCGUGGUCGUAACGGGUGACGGGGAAUCAGGGUUCGAUUCCGGAGAGGGAGCCUGAGAAACGGCUACCACAUCCAAGGAAGGCAGCAGGCGCGCAAAUUACCCACUCCCGGCACGGGGAGGUAGUGACGAAAAAUAACGAUGCGGGUCUCUUCGAGACUCCGCAAUCGGAAUGAGAGGGUCUCAAAUCCUCCUUCGAGGAUCUAUUGGAUGGCAAGUCUGGUGCCAGCAGCAGCGGUAACACCAGCUCCGAUAGCGUAUAUUAAAGUUGCUGCGGUUAAAAAGCUCGUAGUCGGAUUUCGGUUCCGGAGGGGUGGUCCGCUGACAGCGGUCACCGCCCUGCCCGGAACAGGUUUGCCGGUUUCUCUCGAUGACCUUGACCGGUCGUCCCGAGCGACCUGCGCGUUUACUUUGAGAAAAUUAGAGUGCUCGAAGCGGGCUGCGAUGCCUGGAUAAUGGUGCAUGGAAUAAUGGAAUAGGACCUCCGUUCUAUUUCGUUGGUCUUAGGAGCGCGAGGUAAUGAUCGAGAGGGACAGACGGGGGCAUCCGUAUCGCGGCGACAGAGGUGAAAUUCUUGGACCGUCGCGAGACGAACUACGCAGAANUUUUUUUU
rnacentral:rRNA from 1 species